UACAUAGGGGGCAAGCGUUGUCCGGAUUUAUUGGGCGUAAAGAGCGUGUAGGCGGUCAUGUAGGUCCGUUGUGAAAACUCGAGGCUCAACCUCGAGACGCCGAUGGAAACCAUGUGACUAGAGUCCGGAAGAGGAGAGUGGAAUUCCUGGUGUAGCGGUGAAAUGCGCAGAUAUCAGGAAGAACACCCGUGGCUAAGGCGGCUCUCUAGUACGGUACUGACGCUGAGACGCGAAAGCGUGGGGAGCGAACAGG
rnacentral:rRNA from 1 species